UAUGGUCACAUCAUGUUGAAACACUAAUACCCAUGUGAUCUCCAAAUUUAAGCAAUGUUGAGGAGCCUGGUCAGUACCUAAAUGAGUGACCACUUGGGAACACCAGGUGUUGUAAG